rnacentral:rRNA from 1 species
AACGCGAGGAACCUUACCUACCCUUGACAUGUCAGGAAGUCCGCUGAGAGGUGGAUGUGCCCGAAAGGGAGCCUGAACACAGGUGCUGCAUGGCUGUCGUCAGCUCGUGUCGUGAGAUGUUGGGUUAAGUCCCGCAACGAGCGCAACCCUUGUCAUUAGUUGCUACAUUUAGUUGGGCACUCUAAUGAGGCUGCCGGUGACAAACCGGAGGAAGGUGGGGAUGACGUCAAGUCCUCAUGGCCCUUAUGGGUAGGGCCUCACACGUCAUACAAUGGCGGAUACAGAGGGUUGCCAACCCGCGAGGGGGAGCCAAUCCCAGAAAGUCCGUCGUAGUCCGGAUCGGAGUCUGCAACUCGACUCCGUGAAGUCGGAAUCGCUAGUAAUCGCGGAUCAGCAUGUCGCGGUGAAUACGUUCCCGGGUCUUGUACACACCG